UCCGAUCAUGAAUUGCCCUGCUUAAAACUUUCCAAUGUCUUUCCAUUGCUCUUAGGGUGAAACCCUGACUUCUAUAGCCCACAGGGAGAGUGAAUGCAGCGUUUGCCGUCCAUAUUGGGAUGGCUCUGAUGUUUAUGAUGGGACGACAGUUAUAAUGGGGACUCCCAGGAAAAGCAAGAUGUGGCCACCAGGCUCUGUGACUCUUGCUCCGAGCCUCAUUUCCUCCUGUGCCCAUCCACUCACUUGGCAGCAGGGUUUUGCUACUGGUGGUAGCACUGCCAGUGAAAUAGAUGGAAAUAUACAGCCUGACUCAUGCCCUAAAAAUGGUUUGAAACCAUACAGAAGGAGUCUUCCAGUUUGGAAUCCUAGAAAGCGCCUGAGAAAGCCCAGCGUCUCCCCCAGGAUGUCAUGGCCUUUCCUGAAGGGUCACCUUGACGCACAGCCUGCAAAACUCUUAAGGAGAGCUUUCCACCUUCUUGCAUAUUCUAAUUUCAUCGAUCUUAAAGAGUCAUCAUUGCCAUUUCUCUCUUUGCCUGUGGAUGACUGAAGAAUGCUUGUGAGCAUAAACACUAAGUGACUUAUUUACAUUAAAUAAUACCCUGCUCAUUCCCAGGGGCUGACAAACUCAGUGGCCUCUAGAAAUCAGUCACAUGACAGCUUGGCUUUGGGUGGAAAAUAAAUAGAAACGGGGCCAAUACACUGUGAGGCCUGCCCCUGAAUCAGCUUUCGGGUUUUGAGAGAGAGUACUAGUAUAUGACAGCACAGUCUCCAUUUAACCUUUAACAGCCCGUGUUAUCUAUUAAAAUGUUAGAUUUAUUGUUAAUUAAAGCUUCAUUUGUCUAAGUCUUCUCUCUUCUCAAACUGACUAUAAGCUCUUUACAUGCUAUACUUCUGUCUUCAUUCAUUUGUUUGCUCAGUUAGAGAACAAAUAUGUACUGUAUGACUAUCAUGUGUGUAUGCUUUGGUAAGCCAUAGGGGGUGCAAAGAUGAGCAAGACGUAUUCCUUACUUUCAAGACACUCACAGUUCACUAGUUCCUUCACAGUCUGACAGUCUCAUUCAGAGGUCUCAUCUCCCAAGGUUACUGACACAGAAGGUGCUUAAGAAGGUGCUUAAUAAAUGUUUGAAGAAUUUGCUCAAGCCCUGAACCCAUGAUACUGUGGUUGUGCAUGCAACUUUUGCUAAUGAACUUUCAGUAAAACCACCAGAUAAUGUCUUGAGACCUCUUCAAUGAAAACAUUUAGAUCAGAUGUUUUUAGAUCUGGGAAUGAACUAUUUUAGGGCUGAUGUUGAAGACAACGAUUAUUCUGGCCCAACAAUAGCUGGAGCUCUAAACUGCUUAGGAAGUAGGCUCACUUUUCACAUGGACCGACAGCCACACGAACAAAGAGCACAGGAGGAGGAAGACAGUCCGGGAAGCUAACAUUUCCUCUCAGAGCCCGGACUCCACACACUUCACUUCGUGUAGUGAGCAACCACCCAGAGGACACAGUAAUCUGAUGUGGAGGAAAAAAAAAAAGAGCAUUUUUGUUAGCCUUCUGGAUAGUAGGUGACAGAUAUAUCUGUUUGUAUGUAUGCAUGUAUUGAUAAUUUAAAAUGAAAUAUUUACCAAGCACUUUUCUAAGGGGCUUGGUGCUUAAAGAGGUAUAAGCCAUAGUCUGUGCCCCAAGGAGGCAAAUGAUACAAAGAAACACACCCAAAGUGAAAUAACCACAUGAAAGUAAUAUCACAGUGGCCAAGAUUAUUUUAGAGUUGGCUGGAUCCAUAGUGGAUCAUUUGUUGAACAUUUAAUUUAGAGUUUCCUAAAAUGGUGUAUAUGCAUCAUUGGUGGCAUGCAAGGUAUUAUAUUUGGGUGUUACAUAAAUAUUUUAAAAUUUUAUUGGGUGUUUAUUUUAAUAUAUGUUAGAAACAUUUAUAACUACUGUAUCAAAUCCUUGUGGAUGUUUCAUCUUACUGCAAAGUUACAUAGGAAAGUGAGACUGAUGUAAAGACUAAUGAAAUAUACCAAGUGGCCAGGUACAAAGAGGCAACCUGUCUCCCUGCUGGUCCAGGCAUGUGGUGAUGACUCUGCAAGUGUUAUUUGAAUAAUCUGAGUUUGGAAAAUGCAGAUCAAGUCUAGUCUCUGGGGUGCAGAGAGCUUAAGUGAGUUGUCUGCGCUCAGAAGCCAGUAGAGAACAUAGACAAGAACCUAGUCACCUGACUGGCCCUCUGGCCCAUAUCCUCAGUAACCACUUCCUAUUUUGCAGAUGGGGAAACUGUAGCCCUGAAUAAACAGUCCUCUAUUUGAGUGCAACGACUCACGCAAGAAUCUGAAAGCAAAGUAGAAAGGACGAAGUGGACCUCAUGAAAAAAAAUCAAAGUUGAUAUUUAUCGAGCACUUACUAUGCAUGCCAGCACUGUAAAAGUUUCAUACAUGCUAACUUAGGUUAAUCCCCAAGCCAUUCAGUGAGAUGUAUUUAGCUGUUUCUAGAAUUCCUCUUUUCGUAAGGAAAUUAACAAAGACCAAAUAACUUCCCUAAGGUUAUAACUUGCAGAGCUGGGAUUUGAACCCAGGAAGUUCAGUUCCAGAAUGUGUUCCCUAAACCGCUAUGCACACAGCUCACCAGUAGUAAAGUAAGUGAAGAGGUGAGAGAGGCAACCUGCCUCCUGGUGGAACCCGGAACAGUCUGUUCCGACAACAGAUGUAUUACCCUGCGACCUCCUGCUUCCAGCUCUCCAUUAGCCCUUUGUCUAUUUCGUGGAAGACAUAGUUUCUUUACGCCAUCACCUUUCAAUGUGCGGAAACUCCUGAGAGAAAUUAGUGAUUAUCAAAAACAGCACUUUCAUGAGAAAAACUUGUUAGAUUGCAAUAAGGACGAUAAAGCGAUAUCCCAGCCCUCAAGGGAGGAGGGGGAGAGAGUCAUGGGAGGCAAAUGAAGGGAGGGGUAAUUUCUGGACAUGGUGGGCCCAGAAUGGCAUGGAAGAAGGCCCACCAGGGCCUGCCCAGUGAGCUGCGGGGGUCACACAGUAUUGUGAAAGCCCUGUCUGUGUCCUGAGCUUGGCACUGCACGGGGCACAGAGCAGGUGCUCAAAAGCUUUGUUGAGUGAAUGGAAGCCUGGGUGGAAACAGAAGCCAAGCAGCGUGAGUACAGUGAUUGGAGGUGAGAGGGCACCAAGCAAACACUCGACCUACUUUGUAAGCGCACUCCAGGUAAGUCGGAGGAGAGAGCACUGCGCCCCCACCUCCACUCAAGAAAAGGGCUGCGAGCAAACCAUUAACCACGCUCCUGGUGAAACAAACUAGGACGCCUCGCUUUGGGGAAAUCCGUUUUGCUGCUGUCCCCUCUUGUAGCAGCCCCAGCUCUAUCUACAGGUCUAGUCUUCCUUAGGUUACAAGUUCUCAUCCUCCCUCCCUCCAGGGUGCCUCAGGGUGGCCCAGGCCACCCAGGCACCCACAGCCAGCCCUCUUGGUGCUGCUGUAGAUGGGGACCAGCCCAUGCGAUUUCCUCCGCGUCCGAGGGAGAGGAGGCGGCAGGUGCUGACAGCUGAGCCAUUCCACGCAGCUUUAGGGCAAACAACCGCUGGGAAUCCAGGGCCGAGUUUGAGUUCGGGGCCAGAAAAUCCUUCCAAAAGCUGUGCGGACAGACCUGCAUUACAUAAGCUGGGUGUUAGCGGCGCCCCGCUGAUGCACGGAGCCCCGGAUUGCGCCACUCUUACGCAGAAGUGCUCGCUAAGUGUUGCAACAUGACUCCGCAUCCUUAUCACGAUGUGAAGCAGCCACCGGCACACACUCAGAGCCGCCGAAGCUCCCCCGCCAGGUGGUGACGGCUGCUGAGCCGCUGACAGGGGCGAGGGGGCACCGGGGGCAGGACUGACUGUAGCUCUUGGCCCGGGACGCUGGACACGCAGUACCUUGUACCCCGCUGGCCUUGGGCUGCGCAGGUCUCUGAUAAAAUGUACUUUUUUCGGGUGUUUGUUUUUCCUGGCAAUCUCAUUUUGGGUUAUAAAUGGCUCAUUAUUUCCAUCCCAUGGAUUCCUUUCUUGCCCGCUCUUACGUUCUCUCCUUGCUUUCUGAAACAGCCAAAGGUUGGUAAAAAUCAUCACUGACGAAACCUGUGUGCUCUGACCUUGGGCAGAGGUCAGGUUGCCACAUCGCCCUUGCCAUCCUCUGCAGUGGCUGCCACGUGGGAGGGGCUGGCUGGAAAGGCCCC